AGAAAUGUCACUAAUUUCUGUUCGCCAACAUGGAGAAAUCAAAGGAAAAAAAAACAGGAGGGCAGAGUGACUCUUCACUGUCUGCUAUGGACCAGCACAUUGGCAGCAUAAUUGGAGAGGUCUCACAUGGAACCCAAACCGGUUGCCAUCAAGCAUAAAGGUUUCUGGACUCUGUCAUAUCUUCCUGCUGAGCGCGCUGGAAAUUCUUGGCCACGUUCCCAGCAGCGCAAGGUCAUGGCUAAAAUGGAUCCAGCUUUUGUCAAAUUAACUUCAAGUAUAUUUUCACAUUUUACCAAACCCUUUUCCUAACCUUAACCUAAAAGUCUCAUAACCUGCUACGUUAAUUAUACUAACCUGCUACGAAAAGUCAAAUCGGACUUUAAUUUGACAAAAGCUGGAUCCCUUCUAGCCAUGACCGCACCGCAGCCUCCUGGGGCUGAUUUAGCCAAUGUUCCCACCCAGGAAUCCAGGACUUCUGACAGCAACUAGACCAGACUCUCUUUCAAGGCCACACUCCGUCAGCCUCUCCCGAGUCUGCCCCCGAGGCCAGCCAGGAACCUCUCCCUCAAAAGGCUGUCUCCCAUCUUCCUGGAGCUCUCAGAGAAACAGCCACUCUCUAUUAAAUGACAAUUACUCAAAACUAAGCCUGCAACACCCCAUUUUCUUUCUCUCCCUCCCUGACCUCUCUCGCCCCACAUGGUCACCCCUAACAUUUCACACAACAGAACUCUUUCUCGUGUUAGUCUGGAAGCAGUUAACCAUGCUGUUAGAUGUGAAGGCCAAGGUUAAAUGGAGGAAGUAUAAUGGCAAAAUUUGAAUAGAGCUUUUUCAUGUUGAAACAAGUAUUUUUUUAGACUUUGUUAGAGCAUGUUUGGAUUAAAUAUCAGUUUUCGAUUACACCUCAUGCAGCCAUGUGGGAUUUUGAAAGAUGGCAAUAGGCCUGGAAAGUGAAACGUAUCAGGACAUGUUUUUCUACAUACAAUACAUGCACAAAUAUGAACUUUUGUGUGCACACAUUCACUCGUUAAAAACACACACACAAAACGCAUUGGAUUCUUCAGAUAUUUCAUUUUAUAAAAAGGAAUGCAUUUAAAAAAAAAAACAUAUGUACCACUAUUAGUGUUUAAGCUGUACCGUUUUGACACAGGCAUCGUGCUAUUGGACACACAAGACAUUCCAUACACGGACACAGUUCAUACAUACAUACAUACUGUACAUACUUACAUACAUAGUCAUUCAUAUAUUUAUACAAAUAAUACAGGGUUAGGCAUGUUUGCGCUGUCUUUGAAGAAACCCAGGAGAGAGCAGGCAAUAUGGAAUCUGCCAAAGUGCUUUCACUAUUCCUACUGGUCUGGCCUAGCCUGGAAACUAAAUUUAUAUGCUCAGUUUAUUGUGAAGUGAAACAAUUGUGUAACAGAGCAUAUUAGUUUGAAUUCCAGGCUCGCUGUCUAACUAGCAGGCUGUAAAAACCUGCAUGGAAAUAUGAUGAGGACCAGAAGCGUGGCCAAGUGAGAGUGAGUCUGUACAAAGGCAGAUGAGGUUCUUCCUGAACAACAGGAACCGCUUUAUGAAACACAGGACUUCCUGCCGUUAGAGGAAGUAGAGUUUAUUUAGGCAUCUAAGAGAGUAAAGAGGACGACCUCUCGUGUGAAGGGAAUGGAGACCCGUGCUCCCCUUUAAACGGGAUCUUCUCUCGUUUAUGGAGGGGGAGAGGGAUUAUUGGGAUUGGGGAAGAUGAGAUGUGUCUACUCUGGAUGAAUCCCAUGUCUUCCUGUGUUGAACAGGACACUGUACUAUUUUUCAACCAUUCUACCUGGACUGGCUUGGGGGGUGAUAUUCCUGUUAUUUUGUUGUGGUCUGUUUUUAAGACUUCGCAGUGAGAUUGACCUACCCUGUUUAAUCCCACUCUCUGCACAUCAAUGACAAGUCAAUGAUCAAUAAUACUGUCAAAAAUAGAGCGGUCUCGCUCCAAACACUUCAUACUUACAUUCAGGCCCAUUCCCCUGGAGCAACGCCCAAUAAUAACAGAAAGCACACUCUGCCACUGCGUUGCUAUAACGUCGUUAAGACAACAGUCCUGUUGGUUAUGGGCUGCUGGGUAGCUGUCAUGGAGUGAAAUUUAUCAGGGCCAACUCACUUCAGGAAAUUUGUUUUCUGACUGGGCCUUCCUCUUAGGAAACGUUAGUUACAAAAGACAACAGUAGAAGCGAGAGGGACAGAUUUGAGAGAGAGAGAAUGUUAAUGAACAA